GAUACUAGAUGACUUCUUAACCUGCUGAACCACAAUGGGAACCCCUCAGCUGGAAUCAAUUGACAGAAAGUUGGAAAAGACAGAGACGUGUCUGGGACAAAAAAGUCCCCCAUACGCCACCAUCCAUAGAGGUUCCCUUCGGGCAGAUGUGGGGGUUUCUGCACAGCUUUCGACAUGAGUGAGCUGACUCAGCAGAGAGCUUUAAACCUUGAAUGUUAAAAGUUAGAAAAGAGCACAGCUGCCAGCUUGAUCCCCUGGCAUGUGACCCUGACAUGUGACCCUGGCAUGGCUGGCAUGAGACCCUAGCAGGUAAGCCUGGCAUGGAUGGCGCCUCCAGGAUUCCCAAAGCUGAGACUGGUGUUCCUCACGCCCAGUGCUGAGGGCUGUGGGCUUGGGAAAAGUGGUGGCUUGAAAACCACAACUGCGAGCGCCAGAGGAAAAGCUGGCUUCCAUCCCUUGUUCUCAGUGUCCCAGACCGACCCAGGCCUGGUCUGAUCUUUCCAAAACUCCCCUCCUGCAGACCUGAGCGUGGCCCACGUGGUGAAGUGGGUUUCAAGCUGGCGCAUGGCUGGCUGGCAUGACGGGAAAUAUCAAAGAUGGUUUGAUUCGGGUCUUGGCCCCUUUUCAUUCUCUUUUGACCCAAUUUUUUUUCAAAGGCCCUGAAUUAAGGACCAGAAAUGAAAGACUUCUCUGUAGUUCUGCAGGCAUCUCACUUUAAACCUGGAAGAGAAAUUCAUAGUUUUGUUUUUUUCUCCUCCUUUUA